AUGAACGCUGACAGAAUGCUUAACACAUGCAAGUCCACUUGAACUUCGGUUUGGGUGGCGGACGGGUGAGUAACGCGUAAAGAACUUGCCUCACAGCUAGGGACAACAUUUGGAAACGAAUGCUAAUACCUGAUAUUAUGAUUAUAUGGCAUCGUAUAAUUAUGAAAGCUAUAUGCGCUGUGAGAGAGCUUUGCGUCCCAUUAGCUAGUUGGAGAGGUAACAGCUCACCAAGGCGAUGAUGGGUAGCCGGCCUGAGAGGGUGAUCGGCCACAAGGGGACUGAGACACGGCCCUUACUCCUACGGGAGGCAGCAGUGGGGAAUAUUGGACAAUGGACCGAGAGUCUGAUCCAGCAAUUCUGUGUGCACGAUGAAGUUUUUCGGAAUGUAAAGUGCUUUCAGUUGGGAAGAAAAAAAUGACGGUACCAACAGAAGAAGUGACGGCUAAAUACGUG
rnacentral:rRNA from 1 species